CCCAAGUUGAGGAGGCCCUGCUCGACCUUCUUUCUCCCACAGGGUAUGCAAGUCUGCCCAUUCCUGACAGCGAGGGUGGUUCUUUGAAUGUAGCUGGUGCUACACAGUGCCUUCCCUCUCAGGCUCUGGGUCCUGCUCAAGAAGGUACCCAUCCCUCCACAAGUGGUACACCGCAGGGAGAGUUUACUGUCAUGGUGAUUGAAGGCGAGGAGCGGAGAAUCCCAAUAAUAUCUGAUAGCAGCCUUGAGUCAAGGUUUCAUGGAGGAGAUUAAGGUGGCACCUCAGCUUCUUAAUGUAAAUGAAGUACGGGACCUUAUUUCCGACCUUGUGGGGACUCAAAGAGAGGCUGUGUCUUUACAGCGGGAGAAUGUGGCACUGCAGCGGGAGUGUGUUGCAAUGCAGCGGGAGACUGUGGCUGCCUUGCAGAAAUUAGCUGAAACACCAGCAGGCAUCCUAAAACUUGUCCAGGCUAUGGGAGGCCGAAUUAAAUAGGAAGCCAUAGGUUUUCCCCUCAUUUAAGCAAUUAAGGUUUAAAUCAUAUAGGAUUAAGCAUUUUUUAUUUCCUGGAUUUUUUUUUUCUCUCCUUUAAUCACUAAGUUAUGACGUAAAUCUUAGAGGAUCAAGUUAUUUUGUCUUUCUUAAGGUUGUUAGUUUUUUCUCAUUGUUUUUUUUGAGUUUAGGUGUAAAUAUUGAUUUUUUUUUGUCUUUUUCAGGAUUAAGUUUUGAUGUAAAUUUUUUUUUUUUUUCUGUCUUUGGAUUCUAGUCACGUUCCAUUUGCUCCCGAUACCAGAAUCUCAAGUUGAGCUGUGCUACAUUUUUAGUUCCUUAUGUUUCUAGUCCCCUUUUCCA